UUCCGAUGACUUGUGAUAAGAAGUGAAAAGCUAAUCGAACUUGGUAAUAGCUGGUUCUCUCCGAAAGAGCUUUUGGGUUCGCGUCGUAUGUUCCCGCGAGGGGUAGAGCACUGGAAGGUCUGGACAGGGCGAAAGCUCGCUAGACCUAUCAAACUCCGAAUACUCGCGGUUAAAAGUACGGCAGUUAGACUGCGGGGGCUAAGCUCCGUUGGUCAAAAGGGAAACAGCCCGGAUCUCUAUUUAAGGUCCCUAAAUUUAUGCUAAGUGCGCUUAAGGUGGUGGAGUUUCUCAGACACUGAGGAGGUUGGCUUAGAAGCAGCCAUCCUUUAAAGAAAGCGUAACAGCUCACUCAGUAAGAGAUUCUGCGCCGCAGAUUCACGGGGCUAAAGCAUAAUACCGAAAUUGAGGGCUCUCUUUUGCUUCGGCAGAAGGGAGCGGUAGGAGAGUUUUCGCGUCAGCAGUGAAGGCAAAGGGGUGACCCAUGCUGGAGCGUCGCGAAGUAAGAAUGUUGGCACAAGUAACCGCAAUGAAGGUGAGAAUCCUUCACGCCGAAAGAACAAGGUUUCCUUGGCGAUGUAGAUCAGCCAAGGGUUAGUCGGGCCUAAGGGAAUGGCGAAAGCCGCACCCGAUGGACACACGGUUAAUAUUCCGUGACUCCCGCGAUAUGCGAUGGGAUGACGGAGUCUAGUAUGAUUUGCGCAUUAUUGGAUUUGCGUUCGUGGUGUAAGGAUGUGUCCGAGGUAAAUCCCGGCACUCUCUUAAAUGAGGAAUCUAAGCUCAGCGAAAAUGCUCUGGUUCGCCAGGGUAAAUUUAUCAAAGCAGGCUUCCAAGAAAAAUCUCUAAGCUCUAGUAUCGCAGGAUCCGUACCGCAAACCGACACAGGUGUUCUGCUCGAGUAGAGUAAGGCGAACGAGUGAGAAAUCCCCAAGGAACUCGGCAAAAAAGCAGCCGUAACUUCGGAAUAAGGCUUUCCCCCAACAUACAGUCCUUUUUUAGGACUAAAAUAUUUGGGUGGCAGUCGGAUAAAAUGCAGAGGGUGGUAUGUUCGUCACCCGAACGUGUGUCUUAAGUGCGCGCGUGAGAAUGGGGCAUCAAAGUUGGGCAAGCGCUUGCCUACGAUGCUUGUGUUUUCAAAAGAUGAAACUGCCUCACGUAGUUUCAUUCGAAAGUUUUUCCGGUUGCCAACCAAACCCUCUUUCUAUUUUCUGAAAUGGAAGAAUGAAAGAGGACUGUAUGUUGGGGGACGCAGCUAAAGUAUCUCUGGCAACUGUUUAUCAAAAACACAGCUCCCUGCGAACUCGUAAGAGGAUGUAUAGGGGGUGACACCUGACCAAUGCCAGAAGGUCAAAUGAUGACGUUGUUUUGUCGCAAGAUAAAAUGGUGAUCGUCAUAAGCCCUGGUGAAUGUCGGCCGUAACUAUAACGGUCCUAAGGUAGAGAAUUUUUCGCAAGACAAAUUCUCUAGGACUGGGACUGUUAUAGGAAACGAUAAACAAAUUAAACACAUAAUCAUUACAUUUGAGAGCUACCUAUCAUGCCGAAAUGCAUGAAUAGUCCAUCGUGAUUAACGAGAGACCAACGUCACGGUCCCGAAAGCGUAAGCGAGGGAUAAGAGAGAGUCCAACUUGAGGAAUGGUUGAGCGAAAUUCCUUGUCGGGUAAGUUCCGACGCGCACGAAUGGUGUAAUGACUGGAGAACUGUCUCGGGGAUCCGCUCGGUGAAAAUACAAUACCGGUGAAGAUGCCGGUUACCUGCAGUUAGACGAAAAGACCCCAGGAGCUUUACUGCAACUUGAUAUUGAGAAUACGUUUUGCAUGCGUAGCAUAGUGGUGAGACUUUGAAGCGUCGCUUUCGGGUGACGUGGAGUCGUCAGUGAAAUAGCCAUCUUGCUGGAUGUAUUUUCUAACCUCGUCGGCAAAAACGACGAGAGACAGUAUCUGGCGGGCAGUUUUAGUGGGGCGCUAUCCUCCUAAAGAGUAACGGAGGAGUUUAUUAAGGUCAGCUAGGCGCGAAUGGAAACCGUGCCGAUAGUGUAAUGGCACAAGCUGGCUUAACUGUGAGACGUACGUGUCAAACAGAUGCGAAAGCAGAACAUAGUGAACCGACGGUCCGCAUUAGACGCGGCCGAAGAUUAUCGGAUAAAAGCUACCCUGGGGAUAACAGGCUAGUUCCGCCUAAGCGUCCAUAGCGACGGCGGAGUUCGGCACCUCGAUGUCGGCUCAAGAUAUCCUGGGGGUGAAGAAGCUCCCAAGGGUUUGGCUGUUCGCCAAUUAAAAUCUUACGCGAGCUGGGUUCAGACCGUACUGGUACCAAUUUGAGAUUGGUAGAAGUGCAGUCUGAAUCCGUUGAGGAAUUGAAGAAAUUUGACUGUUAACACAACCAUAGAAACAACACGGCGGUCGCGCAUAGUAAUAUGCGAAUGAUCCAGUUGACUAAUAUCGGUGGAAUCCAAGAUUGAUGUCUUGGGCUAUACCGAGGGAACCCCAUGAGAUGAUUCGCAAGAACUAUCUCAACGGGGGCCCGUAGAGACUAAACGUCAACAUCCCGUUGAGAUAGACGUCGUAAGACGUCGUCAUCUCAUGGGACAAGCUAUAGUCCAUUCCUCACAGCAAUGUGAGACAAGAAGCGUGAGACAGGUUGGUCUCCUAUCUACUGCAGGCGUUGAAUUUUGAGGAGAUUUGCGCAUAGUACGAGAGGACCUGCGUGAACGAACCUCUGGUCUGAGAGCUGUUCCUGCCAAGGGCAAUGCUCUGUAGCUAAGUUCGGAAUGGAUAACCUCUGAAAGCAUCUAAGAGGGAAGCCAACUCCAAGAUGAGAAUUCGUUAUGAGGCCCGUGGGAGAUGACCACGUUGAUAGGCUCUAGGUGUAAGCACAGUAAUGUGUUGAGCCGAGGAGUACUAAUCCGCCCAUC
rnacentral:rRNA from 1 species